CGCACCACCCAAUCGCCUCCACAGCACCCCGGACAACAGCCUGACAGCCCAAGGAAGGAAGCUGUUUUCUAGAUCAUCCAGCAGCCAGCUGACUGAAGAUGCAUAUGCACCCCCAGGUGGGAUCAAUCAAGGUAGCCUGGCCGGAAUCAUCCAGCUGAGCCACCUUAUCAGGGGCUAAAUAUAUACUGGCUUCAAACCAGGAAGUUGGGAAGGUAGUUACAUGGUAAAAGCCGCCUGCUACACAACUUAAGCUAGAAAAGAAUCCUUGGAAGAUUCUUAUGCAUUUUGAGACUGAACCAAGUGAAAGAAAGGAGAGAAUCUACAUGGGCUUCAGGAAUAACCAGAACCAAGGAUUUGAGUAUCAGCACAAAAUAAAACAUCAUCAUCUGAGGAAUGGUCUCUGAUGAGUGGGGUCUAAAGAUCUUCAGUUGGAAUUCACCCUGGAAUCCGGGCAGGGUCAGGAGGCCAAACGCAUCCACCUAUAGAACACUGGAAACUCUCACUAUGUUGGAAAUGAGAUUAAGAUCUAAGGGGUCUGAGGAGUCUGCAUAAGAAGAAGCAAAGCCAGUAAGAAGGGAUCAAGUCAUUCUUCAGCAAGAUGGAACAGGUUUACAAGGACAGCUCAUGUAACCUACACAGCUGAGUGCAUUUAUUCUUACUACUUCAUGUUAUUUUAGGUCCCCUUGUGAGGGCAAGUGCUACAUUUAAUGCUGCAUUUACAACCUAUGCAGAGCAGGGGUUCUUUGAACUUUUUCCAUCCUCUUCAAUUACUUGGAACAAAUGCCCUGUCUUUCCCCAGAUUCCCACUUUUCAGUGGAACAAGGGUAUAAACUCAGCGAUAGUAAUUAAUGUCAAUGUGAAAGCCAAAUUUGGGAGAUUAUACUUCAGUGAUUUUCUGAUUAACCAACAGCUAAAAAAUUACAAGGUGAAAAAAGGGUAACCACUACAAAUAAUAGUGAAAAAAUACAACUACAAAUUUUAUAAUUAAAAAGCAAAAAUAAUAGUACUUGGAAUGUCAGACCAAUUCAAAAUAAUACUAUUCCUGACAAACAAGUGCUCCCAAAUGAUUUUAUAAAUUCCAAUUAUCUAUGUGUGCCAAAGCCUGGCAGACACUUUGCAACAUGGACAAAAACUGUAGGUACCCCAAUAUCAUGCUAAAAUACUGUUUCUAUGAAUUUAUAGGUUAUUAGCAAGCAACAUUUUAUAUUAAGUGAACAGUGGCAGACUCCAUGUUAUUUGGCCUUAAGAGCAAAAGAUCUCGUAUUCGCUGAUCAGUUCUAAGCCCAUAUGAAAUCCCCUAGUACAACCCACUAUUAGAAAUCACUGCUCCACAAGUGUAAGCAUGGCAGCUUAGGCACUUAAACACUCAUUAUCAGAGCAAACAUCUCCUCAGGCUCCAAAGAGUAAGGUAAAGUUCUACUUGUCCCAUUUGUUAAAGUACUUGCGUGGCAUCACAUAGCUGCAUCUCACUGACUCAACAAAAACCUUACAGAUUCGCAGAUUAUCACAUUAGAUCUGAACAGGGUCGGGUGGCCAAGAAGACCACUGUCACCCUGUGAGUUUCCAAGGAGGGAGCAGGGAGAUGUGCUGAGUCAUCCGAGGAGCACAUGCUCACACUUCUUCCAGCCCUACUUGAAGACUUUCCUUUCUCCAUUGGUUGUGUACGUCUAUUAAAAGUCAACCAACAAGAAAUCACUGGCUAUUUCAGAUGUGGAUUUGAUGAAAUAUCCAUGGUAGUAGUAAAGAAUAAAAAGACCAGAUUCUGUGUUACAACUCAAAUGAAACAUAAAAACACUACUAAGUAUACAUGGAAAACUGUUCAACCAAAAUUCAUGAAGCAAUUAAUUUAGUCAAUGAAAAUGUCAGAAACAAGUGAACUUCCUUCUCCUGCCUCAACCUUUCCAGCAACACACAGGAGCCACUGAAAUGUGGAGUGUCCUUGUCUUCAGAAAGCAAUUUAUAAAAAAUGAUGCUACACUUCGAUUAUAAUUGUCACUUUUUGAAAAUACUGGUAAGCCUGUGGAAUUUGUACACUGAAAAAAUAAAACCUCAAAUAAUUUUGACAAAAGUCUUGCACUCACUGUUUGAAAACAAACAAUACUCUGGCAGGAAGAGAAUGUAAAAGAAAACAAAAUGGCCUCAACAGCCAGUGGCCCCAUCUUCGUAUCAACACAUCCCAGCAACUUACCGUGGGGAUCGCUGUGGUGCAGCUGACUCUUCUGAGCCGUCUCUGCAUCAGGUCAUGUUCCAUACCAUUAACUUCAGCCUUCAACCGCUCUAGCUCGUCUUUCUCAAGUUUCAACUGCUUUGCUAACCUCUCCAUCCUUGCUCGCUGAUGUAAC